GGUGUUGUUGUCACUGGCUCUCUUUCUCUCUCUUUCCCUCCGGCUCUGUUCCUGUGCUACUGCGAGUGUAACUACCGCCCCUCCCCCCUCUUCCCAGCGCAAAGCACAAGGCUUGUGUGUGGAGUGACGCAGGAAAAAAGUGCGAGAGAGAGGGUGAGAGGAAGAAAAAAACAAACACGGUUCGCGUCGUUCACGUCAAAGACACGGAUCUAAGAGCAAUUUUGUUCGCGACCAACACAUCACUAGUGGCCAGUCUAUCAGCAGAGAGCAUGUGAACGCUGGCGACUGUGUGAACAACUCGCAAUCAAUAUUUCUAGACCAAAUAAUGGAAAAACAAGUCCUUUGAAGAGCGGUAAAAUACUGACACAAGAUGGCUGCUGUCAAAUAUGAUGAAACAGGAGUCACAUGCAUGCUACUGUACACAUGCAACAUACCUCACAUACUUAGAAAUUUCCACUCCCUUUGUUGUUUCCAUUAUUUAUUGAUGUGGGAUAUAUGCACAAGCAACCUACAGAUCAUCAUGUGUUUAGCUUCGACCACUCAACCAGCUCUUCUCAUUUUACAUGCAAAAUUAGUCUCUGUUUGAAUUGCAAUAAUUACAUUUAAUAUAUCUAAUAAAUACACGUUGAGUAUAAUUGUUCUGUUACUUUUUAAUGUCAUUUUACUUUUUAAGUUUAGUAAGUUAGUUUAUAGACAAAAAAUAAAGUAACAUUAAUUACCUAACCACUCUUAGAGUUACACCCAUCUGGAAGCAUCAAAGAUAGGUACACAAGUGAGUAAAACUACAGACUGAGAUGCUCUUUUUAAACCCUGAUUCGGCACUCGUUUUGUUGUUUACAGUUUAAUCCAUAGCCAAGAAACAAGAGGCCAUUUUGCUUCUUGCCUUACAAAUUUACAUUUCAAGCACCUUGCUGCUAACAUAGUUACCUGCAUAUACCAAUUUGUCUACAGGUAAGGUUGUGACUUACAGUUUAGCAUAAGUUUUGCACAUAAAAAUACUUUUCAAUUGAUAUAGUAAUUGGUAGUAAUAGUUUCCAAUUUCUAACUGCUACAGGAGAUACAACCAGUUUUUUUUAUUUCAUUUCACUCUGGCAAGGAUGACAUGCCAUCUCCAGGACCUCACUGUUUUAACACUGUGGUGGAGUCGAGCAAGGGAUGGAUCGAGCAGUGGGUUCGGGGGACGGUACCUGCACAGCUGAGGUCCAUCACACAAACCACGCCUUCCCUAUUUCAGUAGCUGCUAGGUCCCAGAAGAGAUGUCUGAGGUUUGGAGAGGACAGCACUGAGCGGGAGCGCGCUGGAAAAUAUACAGCCUAAAACAAACUACCAUGUCUUAUGGUCCUUGUGUCACAAACACAUUUAACAGGUCUCACUCAGGUUCAUCCCCUCAGUUGGCAGCAGAGCAGUAAAUUAAAGUUAAUCCAGGCACACCUGGUUCAUUUUUUAUCUUCAUGCCUGUGUGUAAUCAGAUGUGAAAAAAAAUAUUGACAGCAGUGAGCAUGCUCACGUGGCAGCUGAUUUGUGGCAUGAGUGAAGACAGUAAAGUUACCAUAAGGCCACAAAGAAAGUAUGAUUGAAAUGAACCUUAAUUUUCUUUAAAUGAAAUAAUAUUUUAUUCUGUAUAAGAUGGUCUGUUACAUAACAAUCAUCGUUUGUGUGACACUUAUAUCAAAGGCUGUUUUUAUCCUUGUCUUUUAUAUCUGG
ensembl:lncRNA